UGCGUAGGUGGUGGGGUAAGUUUGAGGUGAAAGCUCCGGGCUCAACCCGGAAAUGGCCUUGAAGACUAUCCUGCUCGAGGGUUGGAGGGGGGACGUGGAAUUCUCGGUGUAGCAGUGAAAUGCGUAGAUAUCGAGAGGAACACCAGUGGCGAAGGCGAGUCCCUGGACAACACCUGACACUGAGGCACGAAAGCUAGGGGAGCAAACG
rnacentral:rRNA from 1 species